rnacentral:rRNA from 1 species
GGGCCCGCACAAGCGGUGGAGCAUGUGGUUUAAUUCGAUGAUACGCGAGGAACCUUACCAGGGCUUAAAUGUAGAUUGCAUAAGCUAGAGAUAGCUUUUUCUUCGGACUAUCUACAAGGUGCUGCAUGGUUGUCGUCAGCUCGUGCCGUGAGGUGUCAGGUUAAGUCCUAUAACGAGCGCAACCCCUGUCGUUAGUUGCCAACAGGUUAUGCUGGGAACUCUAACGAGACUGCCGGUGCAAACUGAGAGGAAGGUGGGGACGACGUCAAAUCAUCACGGCCCUUACGUCCUGGGCUACACACGUGCUACAAUGGUCGGUACAGAGAGCAGCCACCUUGCGAAAGGGAGCAAAUCUUUAAAACCGGUCUCAGUUCGGAUCGCAGUCUGCAACUCGACUGCGUGAAGCUGGAAUCGCUAGUAAUCGC